AUUGAACGCUGGCGGCAGGCCUAACACAUGCAAGUCGAGCGGAUGAAGGGAGCUUGCUCCUGGAUUCAGCGGCGGACGGGUGAGUAAUGCCUAGGAAUCUGCCUGGUAGUGGGGGAUAGCGUCCGGAAACGGGCGCUAAUACCGCAUACGUCCUGAGGGAGAAAGUGGGGGAUCUUCGGACCUCACGCUAUCAGAUGAGCCUAGGUCGGAUUAGCUAGUUGGUGGGGUAAAGGCCUACCAAGGCGACGAUCCGUAACUGGUCUGAGAGGGUGAUCAGUCACACUGGAACUGAGACACGGUCCAGACUCCUACGGGAGGCAGCAGUGGGGAAUAUUGGACAAUGGGCGAAAGCCUGAUCCAGCCAUGCCGCGUGUGUGAAGAAGGUCUUCGGAUUGUAAAGCACUUUAAGUUGGGAGGAAGGGCAGUAAGUUAAUACCUUGCUGUUUUGACGUUACCAACAGAAUAAGCACCGGCUAACUUCGUG
rnacentral:rRNA from 1 species